rnacentral:rRNA from 1 species
UGGGGAAUAUUGGACAAUGGACCAAGAGUCUGAUCCAGCAAUUCUGUGUGCACGAUGAAGUUUUUCGGAAUGUAAAGUGCUUUCAGUUGGGAAGAAAAAAAUGACGGUACCAACAGAAGAAGUGACGGCUAAAUACGUGCCAGCAGCCGCGGUAAUACGUAUGUCACAAGCGUUAUCCGGAUUUAUUGGGCGUAAAGCGCGUCUAGGUGGUUAUGUAAGUCUGAUGUGAAAAUGCAGGGCUCAACUCUGUAUUGCGUUGGAAACUGUGUAACUAGAGUACUGGAGAGGUAAGCGGAACUACAAGUGUAGAGGUGAAAUUCGUAGAUAUUUGUAGGAAUGCCGAUGGGGAAGCCAGCUUACUGGACAGAUACUGACGCUGAAGCGCGAAAGCGUGGGUAGCAAACAGGAUUAGAUACCCUGGUAGUCCACGCCGUAAACGAUGAUUACUAGGUGUUGGGGGUCGAACCUCAGCGCCCAAGCAAACGCGAUAAGUAAUCCGCCUGGGGAGUACGUACGCAAGUAUG